UUGUUUUGGCAGCAUAUAUGUUAUAACAGCAUUAUACAGAGAAGUUUAGCAUGGUCUCUGUGUAAGGAUGGUAUGCAAAUUUGUGAAGCAGUUCCAUUUUUU